AGAAUGCAUAAACUGAAGUCCAGUGAGUUGAAGGCUGAGCUGGAGAGGCGGGGUCUUAACACUAAGGGGACUAAAGCUGAACUAUGUGAGAGACUAGAAGCUGCAGUUGGGGAUGAACUUGUUGAUGCUGGUGCUGACCCUGAUGCUCGUGAUGUGAAAGGUGUACAGCAAUCUGAUGGUGCUCAUGUCGUAGUGGCAGCCGAUGUAAACUCAAACAUGACUGAUAAGGAUUCAGGUGUUAAAACCGAUGGUUGUCCUGCUGCUGUUGAUAGUGGUAGAUCUGUCACUGAUGUUGAUGGUCAGAGUAUAGGAGUUGAAUUAGGUGUGAGAAGUGAUGUUCUUUCGCACGAACAGGUUGUGCAUCCCCAGGAUAGUGCAUCCAAUGUAUCCAGAGCAUCCCGUUCCUCUACCUCCUCGGUCAGGUCUAGGAUAGCUAAAGAAGCAGCAAACAGAGCUGAGUUGGAGGUCAAGCUCAAGCGUAUGACAGAAAAGCAAAAGCUGAGCAGGGAGUUAGCCAGAUUGCAGGAAGAAAAGGAGCUGCUUGAGAUAAAUGAAGCCCUUGAUGUGUCCAAAGCUCGAGAAGUUGCCUUGUCUGAACAAGUGAAAAUGAUUGAACGCUCUCAACAGGUGCAAGCAGAGGCGAACAUCACUCACCCUCAGUCCGGAGUGCACUGUCAGCAACAACAGCAGGUACUGACGACCCAGCCUCCACAUGGAGUACUACAGCCGCAGAUGCAAGAGCGAAGACAGUUCGUGGAAGCUCAAGGAGCUCCGACUUCGGUGAGCGCUAGAGGACCAGUUCUCGGUCAGGUCGCCAGUCAGGAACCACUCACUUCAGUAGGACAGUCUUUGGUGUUCCAGCACAGGUUUUCAGACGCUAUCCCGGAUCAGUAUGCUGCAUGUUCACAGGCAUCACAAUUAGCAGGUCAACAUGUCGUUCAACAUGGUGCUAUUCCACACUUCCCACCGAUAGAUGAACAGAGCAUCCAUCAAACUACCUCGCGUCCAGUGAAUCACCAGGUCGGCGAACGAGUCGUCCGCUCGGCCGGCGCACACACAGUUUCACACUCGUCAGGGGAGAGCGCUCAGCGUGCUCUCGCUGGGUUCAUGCGUCUUCCAUCAGUGGAGAUAGCGAGAUUUGAAGGUGACGUCACUGAAUAUCCCCAGUUCAUCCGAGCAUUCGACUUGAAGAUCGCGUCCAAGUUAGACGACCCUGAUGAGAAGUUGUACUACUUAGAACAGUACAUGGUUCCUGGUACAAAGCCGCACCACAUCGUGUCUGCUUGUAUGUAUCUUCAGGAGGGCUACGACGAAGCCCGACGGUUGCUAGAUAGUAGAUACGGACGGCCUAGUACUGUAUCAGCGGCGUUCAUUGCUCGUCUAGAAAAUCACAGUCAGAUUCGAGCGGAUGAUGUACAAGGACUUGAUUCUUUUGGUAUCUUGCUCACCAAGUGCAGGAACGCUCUGAGUAGUUGCGGCACACACGAGACUCUUCGCGACCCCAGGACACUGAGAACAAUCGUGGGGAAGCUCCCUGGGCUACUGAUCAACAAAUGGAGACACAAAGUUGAUGACAUCGAAGAGAUUGGAGGUCGAGAAGCGAACUUUGACGAUUUGGUCGCGUUUGUAACAAAGGAAGCGAGAGUUGCGUCUAACCCCACAUACGGUAGGGACAUGUUUGGCGGGAACCCCAUGAGUAGGACACCGGUGACACGAACAAGUCCACGGAUGAGCUCUGGUCGAGCAGUGGUAACGGCGACUCAUGUCACGCCGCGUCCCGAGGAGAGCCACUGCGUAUUUUGUAACCGACGAGGUCAUGAUGUGUGUGAGUGUGAGAGUCUCUCCGCAGUCACGAGUCAACAGAAGCAAAACUUCGUCCGGGAGAAGGCUCUGUGCUGGAGCUGUCUGAAGCAAGGACAUCGAAGUCGCGACUGCAGGCGAAGAGCGUCGUGCAGGACAUGUGGAAGGCGACAUCCAACCUCACUACACUGGGAACGAUCUGAACAGUACGUGCGGCAAUAUCAGCAACAGAGUGGACAGCACCCGGAUCGAGACGACACUCAGCAUCAAAGGGAGGAACAACAGCCACGAGAAGGACAACAGGGCCGUCAGCAUGACCCAUCACAUGUUGUCCAACAUCAGCAUGGACGUGGACAUGAGCUGAAUCACACCCAGCAGCAGCAACGAGAGGGGCCUACCGACGCCGCCAGAGUAACAACAUGUCAAACAGCGGGUGAGUCUGAGGCUAGCAAGCCAGUUCUCCCUGUUGUGCCUGUUGUUGUUCGUGUUGGUACGAGUACGUGUCAAACAUACGCUUUUCUCGAUAGCGGCUCGACACAUUCCUUCAUCUCCUCAGCGUUGAUCAAAGAGCUCAACAUUGACAACAUGCCACGCAAACAGCUUUCACUGACGACAGUCGACAGAAGCACGAAGGUGGAAACACAUGUAGUAGAGGGAGUAACGGUUUCGGACCUACGUGGGCGGCACGCGCUCCGGCUGCCUCCGCUGUUCGAAUUGGAGCGUAUCCCGGUGGACCCAGAGGAGUUCCCCAGCCACCAGCUCGAUGUCAGUAGGUGGGAACAUCUCACAGGAGUAGAAUUCGAGCAGGCAGACGCCACAUGCGUUGGACUUCUCCUCGGCGCCAACGCGUUUCUCAGCAUGGAGCCGCUGCAAGUGAUACCCAGUCGCAACGGAAGCCCGUAUGCUGUGCGCACGAGGUUCGGCUGGAUCCUGAGUGGGGUGACGUCUUCCUCAGCCACAGACAGCGGAACAAAGGUCUACAGAACGUCGGUGAAUGACAUCGAAGAUAUGAUACAAGGAAUGUAUGAUCGGGAAUACGAAGAGAACCUCAACUCAAUGAAGAGAGGCCUGUCUGAGGAGGACAAGAAGUGGCUCACGGUGAUGGAGGCGUCCAAGAAAGUUGACAGAGGACACUACCAGUUCAGCAUUCCGUUGAAGGAUGAAGACGUCGUACUGCCGAACAACCGUGUCCUGGCAGAGAGAAGACUGACGAGUCUAGGUCGCCGAAUGAAGAACGAUGUUGAGUUCGCUGAGCAGUACCGAGAUUCUGUGGAAGAAAUGAUCGACAAGGGAUACGCUGAGCCCGUACCAGUAGCAGACAUUCAUCGUGACGACGGCAGAGUGAACUACUUGGCGCACCAUGGAGUGCGCCACGCGUCAAAGAACCGCAUCCGCGUCGUCUAUGACUGUGCUAUGAAGUACGGCGGUGUCAGUCUGAAUGACUGCUUACUGCAAGGCCCCGACAUGACGAACUCGCUACUCGAUGUCCUGAUGCGCUUCAGGAUGGAACGAGUCGCCUUCAUGGCUGACGUGGAAAGUAUGUUCAACCAGGUUCGGGUGCCAGAGUCUGAGCGCGAUCUCCUCAGAUUUCUGUGGUGGAGAGACGGGCGCCCCGACUCUGGUGUGGUAGAGUAUCGGAUGACUGUCCAUAUCUUCGGAGCGAAGUCUUCGCCAAGUGUGGCGUGCUACGCCUUGAGAGAGACGGCGACGGACUUCGCAGAAGAGGUAUCACCUGAAGCAGUGAAGACUGUAAACAGCAACUUCUACGUCGAUGAUGUGUUGAAGAGCACUGACGACGCUGACAUGGCCAUCUCGUUGGCUCACGACCUGAAGACGCUGCUGGAGAAAGGUGGGUUCAGUCUCAAGAAGUUCACCAGCAACAGCUCGGCGUUUAUGUCCUCGAUCCAGACAGGCGACAGGUCAAAGGUGAUGCAGACAUGUACAGGAGUCGGUGAAAGUCUACCAGAAGAGCGCGCCCUGGGCGUAGUCUGGGAUACAGAGAACGAUCUGCUGAGGGUAUCUGUCAACGCGACCAGUCUGCGGGCGAAGCCGUUGACCCGCAGAGGCAUCCUUUCAGCAGUGAGUUCUAUUUACGACCCGCUCGGUCUCGUUUCGCCAACGAUAAUCUGUGGCAGGAAGAUCCUACAAGAUCUCUGCAGGACGAGAGAAAUCUGGGACAAGGAGAUUCCAGCUCAACAGCGCAGCGACUGGAUGAAAUGGCUAUCUCAUCUGGAUGCUACUCAAGAUCUGUGUGUCCCACGGCAUCUGAAGCCAGCUGAAUUCGGUGGAAUGGCGACGCUCCAGAUGCAUCAUUUCAGCGACGCUAGUGAGUGGGCGUAUGGUACAGUCACCUAUGCUCGCUUCACUGACCAGCAGGGAGAUGUCCAUGUCGCUUUCGUGAAAGGUACAUCACAUCUGGCUCCACUGAAGAAAAUAACGAUUCCUCGUCUGGAGUUGAUGGCUGGAGUGACGGCGGUACGUGUUCGGUUGCUGAUAGAGGACGCGAUGGAGCUCGGUUCGGAGACAGAACAUUUCUUCUGGACGGAUAGUACUACCGUUCUCGCAUACGUGCAGAACACUGCGACUAGAUUCCACACGUUUGUCAGCAACAGGUUGGCGAUCAUUCACGAUGGAUCAAAGACUGAGAACUGGAGGUUCGUGAGAGGUGAAGAAAACCCGGCCGAUGACAGUUCACGAGGUGUUCAGAGUGAGAGGUGGCUUUCUGGACCGGCCUUUCUUCGGCUUCCAGAGGAGCAGUGGCCCAUGAUGCCUCCAACCAAGGUGAAGAUAGCGGAAGAAGACCCUGAAGUGAAGAAGGUGAAGGUCUGUGCAAUGAAGGUGUCAGAAGAGAAGAUGAAGGAUCCAAUCGAAGUGCUCAUUCGUCAUUACAGUAAGAAGCAGGCUCUUCUAAGGGCAGUGGCUUGGCUGCUGAAGGUGAAGAAGAGAUUGCAGGAAAGAGCGACAAAAUCGCAGGGUCGAAAAACGGAGCGUCCAUCUCGACUCCAGCUGAUAGAUCUCGAAGAAGCAGAGAACUGUGUCGUUAGGUGGGUACAGGAGCAGAGUUUCCCUGAUGAGCUGGAGACACUCCGCAAUGGGAAGGAAGUGAAGGGAGCUCUCAGUAAGCUGAAUCCAUUCCUGAGUGAUGGGAUCCUCCGAGUUGGCGGACGUUUGAAGAAUGCUGAUGUCACCCUGGACCAGAAGCACCCAAUUGUACUCCCGGAUUGCUAUUUCGCCGAACUAACUGUUCAACAGGUGCAUGAGAAGGUCGGACACUCUGGACGUCAACAUGUGUUAGCUGAGAUACGGAGACGUUUCUGGAUCGUGAAAGGGAACUCGAUCGUCAGACGAGUGAUUGGACGUUGCCUCGGAUGCCGCCGACGACAUCGCCCACCAGAAUCUCAGAAGAUGGCGGACCUGCCGAGUGACAGAGUCACAGCGGAAGAACCUGUAUUCACUCGAACCGGAGUCGACUAUUUCGGACCGUUUUUUGUCCGACAAGGACGGAAGCAGGUGAAGAGGUACGGAGUCGUUUUUACUUGUUUGGCGGUGAGGGCCGUCCACAUCGAGGUCGCCGAAAAUUUGUCAGGAGAUUCAUUCCUGUGCGCCUUACGUAGAUUCGUCGCACGGAGAGGUCACGUCAAGGUGCUCAGAUCAGACAAGGGGACAAAUUUUGUUGGUGCCAGUCGCGAGCUUCGAGAGGAGUUGGAGAAACUGCGAGCCAAUGAAGAUGUGCUGCAUCGUACGCUGUUGAAUCAAGGAGUAGAAUGGAAAUUCAACACAGCCGCAGCGUCCCACCACGGAGGUGUCUGGGAACGACAGAUACGCUCAAUCCGAAGAAUCCUGGGAUCAUUGCUGGACUCGCAGACGUUCACGGAAGAAACUCUGUUGACUCUAUUGUGUGAAGUAGAGGCAAUAUUGAACAGUAGGCCACUCACCCCAGUAUCCUUAGAUCCGGUUGAUCACGAGCCACUCACUCCCAACCAUUUGCUGAUUGGUACCGGCAGCGUGGUGAUGCCGUUCGGGGUUGUAGGCCAGAGUGACUCAGAUAGUGUCAAACGUUGGAAGCAGGCGAGGUAUCUCGCGAAUCUGUUCUGGAAGCGGUGGCGAGCAGAAUACUUACCGUUGUUACAGGAACGACCGUAUAGGGUGACAAGGAAAAUGACUAACCUUGUUGUAGGAGACGCGGUUCUAGUUGUUGAUGAUGCUGUGCCGCGAGGCCAGUGGCCAUUAGGAGUAGUGGAGCGAGUACGAGUCGGAGCAGACGGAUUAGUGCGCUCGGUAGAGAUUAAGACCAGAGGCGUCACGCUUCAGCGACCGGUGACUAAGCUGAUCAAGCUGUAGGCGAGAUCGUGUACUCUGUAUGGAAGAUGUUCCUGUGCGUCAUGUUCGUGUCGUAGACUAAGGUUGAAGCCAUGUGUUGCGUGGUGGCUUCAAGGGGGCGGGUGUAGUUGCCCUCUAGCUAUAGCAGCAGUCUAGCGCCGGCAGUCACGCUAUAGCAGCGGUUUAGCGUUCGAUCGUCGCGACAUCUAUAUUAGUUAAGCGCCGAUAGUCACGCUAUAGCAGCAGUUUGGCGUUCGAUCGUCGCGACAUCUAUAUUGACAGAGUGUGAUUACGCGUGGGUAUUUACAAGUACUCGAAUGUGGCAGGUACUUUAAAUACUCGAAUACCAUUCUGAUGAAUAUUUCCACGGUUUUCUUUGAAUGCUAUGAACAAUAUUUUGUACAACGUUUUCCGAAACAAAUAAUUCUGCGUUUUGUGUUUCACGUUUUCGAAUCUAAGAACCUAAAACAUUGUGACGUGUCAGCAGUUUCGGUAUGAUAGUGGUGGGCACUGUCGUGUUCCUGCCACGCCCGUUUUGUGCGGCCGACAUUCUUGUUCAGGAUUGUUUCUGAGGAUGGUUUGAUUUCCCUGGCGCUAAUGAGAAUAAUAUGAAGAGACUGUUUCGACCGUGUGUCAGAGGGAAUCAGCCCCCCAGUUAGUCCGGCAUGAGGUGCACACAGUCAAAACGGAUCUAUAGACAAGAUGAAUACAAGGUCCUGUGUUUGAC
rnacentral:misc_RNA from 1 species